rnacentral:rRNA from 1 species
UGAAACUCAAAGGAAUUGACGGCCGUCAAUUCCUUUAAGUUUGUAGCGCGGAUCGUUGAAGACUUCGAGACUAGUCGUCUCGCCGGGAAAUCCGCCUCCCCUGCUGCCUCCAACUGCUGUCACGCUCUAGGAACCCCGCGUCGUGAAUAACGGCGCGGCUGACUAAGGCGAAAGGAAGUGGCGGCUAACUCUGUGCCAGCAGCCGCGGUAAGACAGAGGCCACGAACGUUGUUCGGAAUCACUGGGCAUAAAGCGCACGUAGGCGGCUAGGUCCGUCCGAUGUGAAAGCCCCGGGCUCAACCGGGGAAUUGCAUCGGAUACAGCCUGGCUUGAGGACGGUUGGGGUGAGUGGAACUCCUGGUGGAGCGGUGAAAUGCGUAGAUAUCAGGAGGAACACCGGUGGCGAAAGCGGCUCACUGGACCGUUACUGACGCUAAUGUGCGAAAGCUAGGGGAGCAAACGGGAUUAGAUACCCCGGUAGUCCUAGCCGUAAACGAUGGGCACUGGGUAGGGGGGAAGCCUAUGCUCUUCCCUGCCGAAGCAAAUGUGUUAAGUGCCCCGCCUGGGGAGUACGCUCGCAAGGGUAAAACUUAAAGGAAUUGACG